GACGAGCGCUGGCGGCGUGCUUAACACAUGCAAGUCGAACGGAAAGGCCCUGCUUUUGUGGGUUGCUCGAGUGGCGAACGGGUGAGUAACACGUGAGUAACCUGCCCUUGACUUUGGGAUAACUUCAGGAAACUGGGGCUAAUAUCCGGUAUGAUCUUCUGCUGCAUGUUGGUGGUUGGAAAGUUUCGGCGGUUCGGGAUGGACUCGCGGCUUAUCAGCUUGUUGGUGUGGUAGUUGCUUACCAAGGCUUUGACGGGUAGCCGGCCUGGGAGGGGGACCGGCCACAUUGGGACUGAGAUACGGACCAGACUCCUACGGGAGGCAGCAGGGGGGAGUAUUGCACAAUGGGCGGAAGCGUGAUGCAGCAACGCCGCGUGCGGGAUGACGGCCUUCGGGUUGUAAACCGCUUUCGCAGGUGACGAAGCGUGAGUGACGGUAAUGGGUAAAGAAGCACCGGCUAACUACGUG
rnacentral:rRNA from 1 species